AAAACGAGUUGCACAACCCGCAAAAGUUUACAUUAUGUAAUUUUAAACAAAGGGUUUUCAUAUAGUUUACUUCCAUAAAUAUUUCAUUCCUCACUCAACAGUUACCAUUUCGUAUACGAUGAAAAUCAAUAUUCAUGCCAUAACCUUCGCAAUAAUACUUGCACAAGAAUAAGAAAACACUUCAAAAUAUCUUCAUGCAUUCAAGCAAUUUCAAGUGUCAAUUUGACACCAUC
rnacentral:misc_RNA from 1 species